AACGAACGCUGGCGGCAUGCCUAACACAUGCAAGUCGAACGAGACCUUCGGGUCUAGUGGCGCACGGGUGCGUAACGCGUGGGAACCUGCCCUUAGGUUCGGAAUAACUCCCCUAAAGGGGUGCUAAUACCGGAUAAUGUCUUCGGACCAAAGAUUUAUCGCCUUUGGAUGGGCCCGCGUUGGAUUAGCUAGUUGGUAGUGUAAAAGCCUACCAAGGCGACGAUCCAUAGCUGGUCUGAGAGGAUGAUCAGCCACACUGGGACUGAGACACGGCCCAGACUCCUACGGGAGGCAGCAGUGGGGAAUAUUGGAAAAUGGGCGAAAGCAUGAUCCAGCAAUGCCGCGUGAGUGAUGAAGGCCUUAGGGUUGUAAAGCUCUUUUACCCGGGAUGAUAAUGACAGUACCGGGAGAAUAAGCACCGGCUAACUCCGUG
rnacentral:rRNA from 1 species